UACGGGGGGAGCAAGCGUUGUUCGGAUUUACUGGGCGUAAAGGGCGCGUAGGCGGUCGUGACAAGUCACUUGUGAAAUCUCCGGGCUUAACUCGGAACGGUCAAGUGAUACUGUCGGGCUAGAGCACAGUAGAGGCAGGUGGAAUUCCCGGUGUAGCGGUGGAAUGCGUAGAGAUCCGGAAGAACACCGGUGGCGAAGGCGGCCCGCUGGGCAAGAAGACGGGCGCAAGCCCGUCGGCUGACACUGAGGCGCGACAGCGUGGGGAGCAAACAGG
rnacentral:rRNA from 1 species